UACGUAGGGGGCAAGCGUUAUCCGGAUUUACUGGGUGUAAAGGGAGCGUAGACGGCCAGACAAGUCUGAAGUGAAAAUCCAGCGCUUAACGUUGGAAGUGCUUUGGAAACUGCCGGGCUGGAGUGCAGGAGGGGCAGGCGGAAUUCCUAGUGUAGCGGUGAAAUGCGUAGAUAUUAGGAGGAACACCAGUGGCGAAGGCGGCCUGCUGGACGAUGACUGACGCUGAGGCUCGAAAGCGUGGGGAGCAAACAGG
rnacentral:rRNA from 1 species